UCUCUCUUCUCUCUUCUCUCUCUUCUCUUCCUCUUCCUCCUUCUCUCUCCCUUUUCCCCACUCCUUCACUUGUUUGCCCCUUCCCUCCGUAUCUGUCUCUCACAUUUUCAAGGUACAACAGAGACAGAACAGAAAAUUAAUAGGAAUAACAAAGUUCAUACAGAAUUUUAAUAGGCUUGUAGUAAAAUAUGCUGUUUUGAUAUUUUUAUAAAUUGCAUUUUUUGCCUUUCCUCUCUCUUUCUCUGUCUUGUUUUUUGUAGAAAAAAGGACAGAUUUAAAAAGGUGCACUGCCCAGGAAUGGAUAUUUCAUGGAAGUCAGUAUAUAUAAAUUAAUUUACCAUAGAAACUGAUAUACUAUACCAAGUGAGUUUUGGACCUUACAUUUCAGGCUCAAUAUCAAGUGUUGUGACAAUCUGUCGAGUGAUCUGUAUUGUAGAAGAUGACUUGGUAUGAUUAAGUAUGUUCUUUCCUACUAUUGAUAUAUUUUCAAGUGGCAUUUUACACAUUAUGGAACGUGUGUUGUUUAGUGAUAAUGUAUAUUACGUGAACUGCACUUACCGAGAACUGAAUUCUAGUUAACAAGAAGCGUAUGAAAAUGCACUUGUAACAAAAGCCAAGUGAUUGCAUAGAAUGUGGAAAACAUCAAACAUAAUUUGUUUAAUGCCGAUAUAGAUGCAUCGAAUCUAAGCGAGAUGGUGAUAAGACCCCCUACAAAUAAUGUGCCCUGAAAAUAUGGCAUGUGGACCAAACGCUUAGAUAGGAUCGGCAGAAUAUCUCAGAGCGUCCUAUUUUCAGCAACCCAGGUCCCCGCCUUUGAAGUCAUUUCUUAUUAUCACUGCGAAUAAGGAAGAUGUACCCCGUUAGCAGAGGGAAACUUGAGAUGAAGUGAGAGGAGCAGGGGCCCUAGAGUGGAGUGUCACCAUGUGUCAGCAUUUAAUCCUGAAUAAGCAAAUUGGAAGCCAGCAUCAGAAACAACCUGAUAUCCCAUACUUGUGAAGCAAAAACUCAAAUAAAAUGUAUAUGAAAUAA